ACGGAGGGUGCAAGCGUUAAUCGGAAUUACUGGGCGUAAAGCGCACGCAGGCGGUUUGUUAAGUCAGAUGUGAAAUCCCCGGGCUCAACCUUGGAACUGCAUCCGAAACUGCCAAGCUUGAGUAUGGUAGAGGGGGGUAGAAUUCCAGGUGUAGCGGUGAAAUGCGUAGAGAUGUGGAGGAAUACCGAUGGCGAAGGCGGCCCCCUGGACGAAGACUGACGCUCAGGUGCGAAAGCGUGGGGAGCAAACAG
rnacentral:rRNA from 1 species